GCCCGCUUAGCUCAGAGGUUAGAGCAUUGUGCUUAUAACGCAAGGGUCGGCAGUUCGAUCCUGCCAGUGGGCA
rnacentral:tRNA from 1 species